rnacentral:rRNA from 1 species
CACGUAGGGGGCAAGCGUUGUCCGGAUUUAUUGGGCGUAAAGAGCUCGUAGGCGGUUCGGUAAGUCGGGUGUGAAACCUCCAGGCUCAACCUGGAGACGCCACCCGAUACUGCUGUGACUAGAGUCCGGUAGGGGAGCGUGGAAUUCCUGGUGUAGCGGUGAAAUGCGCAGAUAUCAGGAGGAACACCAGCGGCGAAGGCGGCGCUCUGGGCCGGAACUGACGCUGAGGAGCGAAAGCGUGGGGAGUAAACAGG